AACAAAACUUACAUGGAUAAAAGAUUGAUUUAACAAUAAGAUAUGUGACAUGUAAAGAACUAAAGCAAGCUUAAUUUGGACGACGAGGUCGUCAGAUAUGAAGUCUUACUUCCACAACAAAGAUGGAAUCAAGAGAAAGCAGAAAUCUACUUUACAUUCAGCAAAUAAUCAAUGUGGUACAAACGGAACUUGCUCA